rnacentral:rRNA from 1 species
GUCGAACGGGGUAUUAGGGAGCUUGCUCCUUAAAUCUAGUGGCGGAUGGGUGAGUACGCGUGAGCAACCUGCCUUGAAGAAGUGGAAUAACUGCUGGAAAAUAGUAGCUAAUACCGCAGUAGUGUGGAGGAGGAACAUUUCUCUUUCACCAAAGAUUUACGCUUUGAGAUGGGCUAGUCGUCUGAUUAGCUAGUUGGUGGGGUAACGGCCCACCAAGGCGACGAUCAUUAGCCGGACUGAGAGGUUGAACGGCAACAUUGGGACUAGACACGGCCCAGACUCCUACGGGAGGCAGCAGUGAGGGAUAUCGCACGGUGGGCGCAAGCCCGAUGCAGCAACGCCGCGUGAGGGAAGACGGUUAUCGGAUUGAAAACCUCUGUCUUCGGUGACGAACGCAAUGACGGUAGCCGAGGAGGAAGCACCAGCAACCCGUGCGAGCAGCCGCGGUAAUACGUAGGUGGCGAGGGUUGUCCGGAAUUAGUGGGUGUAAAGGGAGCGCAGGCGGGAGAAUAAGUCAGCGGUCAAAUCUACGGGCUCACCCCGUAGCCUGCCGUUGAAACUAUUUUUCUUGAGUGGAGUAGAGGCAAGCGGAAUUCCGAGUGUAACGGUGAAAUCCGUAGAGAUUCGGGGAACACCAGUGGCGAAGGCGGCUUGCUGGGCUGCUUACAGACGCUGAGUGCUCGAAAGUGUGGGGAGCAAACAGGAUUAGAUACCCUGGUAGUACCACACCGUAAACGAUGAUUACUAGGUGUGGGGGGUCUGACCCCCUCCGUGCCGGAGCUAACGCAAUAAGUAAUCCACCUGGGGAGACGGCCGCAAGGUUGAAACUCAAAGGAAUUGACGGGGGCCCGCACAAGCAGUGGAUUAUAUAGGUUUAAUUCGAAGCAACGCGAAGAACCUUACCAGGUCUUGACACCUAAGAAGACACUAGAGAUAGAGUUGCGCCUUUCGGGGAACUUAGAGACAGCUGGUGCAUGUUUGUCGUCAGUUCCUGUCGUGAGAUGUUGGGUUAAGGCCGCAACCAGCGCAACCCCUGCCAUUAGUUGCUACGGAAAGAGCACUCUAAUGGGACCGCUAACGACAAGGUGGAGGAAGGUGGGGACGACGUCAAAUCACAUGCCCCUUACGACCUCGGCCACACCCGUAAUACAAUGGUCGUUUAACAGCGUGAGGCAAACCCGCGAGGGGGAGCAAAACAUCAAAAACGGUCUCAGUCGGAUCGCAGGCUGCAACCCGCCUGCGUGAAGUUGGGCCUUGCUAGUAAUUAGCGGAUCACCA